UUGGGUUAAGUCCCGCAACGAGCGCAACCCUUGACCUUAGUUGCCAGCAUUCAGUUGGGCACUCUAAGGUGACUGCCGGUGACAAACCGGAGGAAGGUGGGGAUGACGUCAAAUCAUCAUGCCCCUUAUGACCUGGGCUACACACGUGCUACAAUGGACGGUACAAAGGGCUGCGAAACCGCGAGGUGGAGCCAAUCCCACAAAACCGUUCUCAGUUCGGAUUGCAGGCUGCAACUCGCCUGCAUGAAGCCGGAAUCGCUAGUAAUCGCGGAUCAGCAUGCCGCGGUGAAUACGUUCCCGGGCCUUGUACACACCGCCCGU
rnacentral:rRNA from 1 species